rnacentral:rRNA from 1 species
GACGAACGCUGGCGGCGUGCCUAAUACAUGCAAGUAGAACGCUGAAGAGAGGAGCUUGCUCUUCUUGGAUGAGUUGCGAACGGGUGAGUAACGCGUAGGUAACCUGCCUUGUAGCGGGGGAUAACUAUUGGAAACGAUAGCUAAUACCGCAUAACAAUGGAUGACACAUGUCAUUUAUUUGAAAGGGGCAAUUGCUCCACUACAAGAUGGACCUGCGUUGUAUUAGCUAGUAGGUGAGGUAAUGGCUCACCUAGGCGACGAUACAUAGCCGACCUGAGAGGGUGAUCGGCCACACUGGGACUGAGACACGGCCCAGACUCCUACGGGAGGCAGCAGUAGGGAAUCUUCGGAAAUGGGGGCAACCCUGACCGAGCAACGCCGCGUGAGUGAAGAAGGGUUUCGGACCGUAAAGCUCUGUUGUAAGUCAAGAACGGGUGUGAGAGUGGAAAGUUCACACUGUGACGGUAGCUGACCAGAAAGGGACGGCUAACUACGUG